CUGUGAAAGGGGCUGUCCCCUGCGCUGUAUUUUUCUUCCUCCGAGUGUCUCAAAAGGCAGCGUCAGCAAGACUUUCCUCCUUCUAUUUCAUAGAAUUGCUCCUAUUUUCACCUCUUUUUAUAUCCACAGAUAUCCAGCAACAGAAAGGAUGGGCAGUAGGUACCUUUACUACCUUGGAAGCAGUGUGGAAACAGGGCAAUAUAAGAGAUUCACAAAACAAGGAGACAAGGAUGCCAAAUAAAAGGAGGGUGAAGGUACAGGACAUACAGCAUCAAAGUAAAAUGCUAACUAGACCCAGAAAACCAGCAUGACUGGAUUCUCAAAGCUCUACUUAAAACAGUCAACUGUUCUCCAGUUUCUGCUUUUAUUGACUAGACUGUUUCUCUCUGAACAGUAUGAGAAAGAUGUUUUAGAACUAGGAAUUCAGGAAAAUAAACAAAUAAUCUGAUACUAUUGGAAUGCUUUU
rnacentral:lncRNA from 1 species